UAUGAACUUUCUUCUUCUCAGCUAUACCGUCGUUUUCCUUCAUCUUACGAGAGGACAUUUUCACACCAUAUCCCCAAUAUCUUGGUGGGAUGCACGUGACUAUGGUUGCAACGGAAACGGGUCGACGAUGUUUGUGCCACAUGACUUAUCAGCCUUGGCCAAUGAGCUUCCACGUUUAAAUUCGACUCGCUUUUAUUGGCUGGGAGCUGUCCAGGCCUAUGAACCGUGGAUAUGGACAGAAGACCAAUCACCACUAUUUGAAUAUAUUGGAAUCAUGGCAACUAGUGACGUCAGUGUCCAGUCUCAACGCACAGUCAAUGGAAAUGACGCUUACAAGUGUUAUACGGAAUGCCCCGAUACAACAGAUU